UCCUCCGCGACGGGCCGCGGGGCCGAGCGCGGAAGUGGGCCCCGGUCGGUUCUCAGCCGGCGACGUCCGGAGGGGGAGAGCCCUCCUACAGCGAGGCCAGGCCGGAAGGCCGGAUCAGGCAGGUCGCGAGCCCCUUUGCCCACUCCGGGCAGCGAAGGGGCGGGCCGCGCCGGUUGCCGCCCCGGAAGCGGAAGUGAGGGCGCCGCGGGUCCUGUCCAGUGCGAGCUCAGCCCGGCGUCGGUCGUUCCGCCCGCCGGUCAGAUCGCGCCCUCUCUUCUGCCGGUGUCCUCCUCACCGGCCCCACCAUGCUGUCUCUAGAUUUUUUGGACGAUGUGCGGCGGAUGAACAAGCGGCAGCUGUAUUAUCAAGUCCUAAAUUUUGGAAUGAUUGUCUCCUCAGCACUAAUGAUCUGGAAGGGGCUAAUGGUCGUAACUGGAAGUGAAAGUCCAAUUGUAGUGGUGCUCAGUGGCAGCAUGGAACCUGCAUUUCAUAGAGGAGAUCUUCUCUUCCUAACAAAUCGAGUGGAAGAUCCCAUACGAGUGGGAGAAAUUGUUGUUUUUAGAAUAGAAGGAAGAGAGAUUCCUAUAGUCCAUCGAGUCUUGAAGAUUCAUGAAAAGCAAAAUGGACAUAUCAAGUUUUUGACCAAAGGAGACAAUAACGCGGUUGAUGACCGAGGCCUCUAUAAACAAGGACAACAUUGGCUAGAGAAAAAAGAUGUUGUGGGGAGAGCGAGGGGAUUUUAACAGGAGAACAAAUCAGUGGAAGACAGGAAUUAUUUGUUCCUUAUAUUGGGAUUGUGACAAUCCUCAUGAAUGACUAUCCUAAGUUUAAGUAUGCAGUACUCUUUCUGCUGGGCCUCUUCGUGCUGGUUCAUCGUGAGUAAGAAGCUGCCUUGCUGUUCCUGGGAGGUGCCGUACUUUGUGUUACUGAUGUUUGCAGUAGACGUUGGUCUGUGGCUGGCGGGGUGGCGCACACACACGCUGGCCCCUCCUGGUAGCACUGGUUUGCAUUCGUUUAUGUUCCCCCCCAGAGUCUGUAUGGGCAGAUGUGCGUGCCCCACCGGGCACUCUCCAGGGGACUCUCAGUCACAGGAUUUCAUAUGUUGUCAUUGUCCCACUUUCGCAUUUUUGUACAUCAGUGGAUUUUUUAUAUUAAAAGGUUGAGCCAAAGCCCCCAGUGUUUGUAUUUUGAAGCCAAGCUUCACUUCUAAAGUGCCUACAGAGUCUGUAAGGAACACGCAGCUCUGCCCGAGUUUGAAGCCACCGUUCCUCCUUCUAAUGGGAAUGGCGCAUACGGAGGUGGUCGGAAGUUUUAACGUUUUAAAAUGUUAAAUAAAAGACUUUGCAUAUUGAA